AUUCAAACUUGGUUCGUUGGUUGGAACUGUACUUAACGGUUUAGCACUGAUAAAUGUGUACUGUUGUUUUCCUCUUAAACUUUAAAGAAGAAUACAACAAUGAAUCCUAAGAAAAGUAAGAUGGCCAGAAGAACUGUGAGUGGGGAAAAGAAUCGGAGCACUGAAUGCUGGCAAAAGUUAAAAGCGCUGCAGCGGUUUUAUUUGCCUGAGCAUGAUGAUUUAUCACCUUUUUAAACUAUUACAGAAUUACACUGAAUGACACUGAAUGUGUUCAAAUGAGGGGUUUAUUAAGAGAAAUGAAUAGUUAAAAAAAGGAGAGACACAGCUAUGCAGGAAUAAGAACCAACUAAAAACCUUCAUGAUUUCUAAAAGAUCAUUAAAAAAGUAGAAAACCAUACAGUUAUAUACUUGUUAAACGGUUUGGUAUACUGCAACCUUGAAUACUAUAGGAGGGUAUUUAAGCAAGCCUUUUAAAACUAAAGUACACUACCCGUAAUAGCAAUAAACUAUGAGGAAUGAAAUAUAACAAAUCAGUGUCACUAGAAUUACUUUGGACACAUCAAACUUUUCAAAAGGCUUGAUUUACAGUUACUUUUGAUUGGACCUUAAUCCCAUGAAUCUUCUUGAAACUUGAUAAUCAUGAUCAACUUUCACAUAAAACCUAGUACGCAUACUUUCAAUCCAAACCCAGAAGAAAACAUGUCUGCCACCCCUCAAAAAUAUAAAAAAAGAACAGGAGGGAUUCAAGUGAACAGAAUAACCAAACCUCUGCUGUCUUUGGACACUACACAAAAUAUUUGGGUUACUCUAAGCAGACGAGUAAGAAUCAGUAAAAUUCAACUUCAGAAAACCUUCCAAACCGCAAAGAGCAAAGAGACGAGAUUUAAUUUUGUCACCAUGAUGUUUGGACGAAAUCAACAUCAGCUUAUAAUACUACCAUGUUGUAAAAUAAAUAUACAUUCUAAAUGUGAUUUUCUAAACCUUCCUUCAUUUUUCGAUAUAAUUUACAACCAUUUUAAACAUCAUCUCUAAUGAACGAAUCCAGGUUAGUAGUUAGACGUUAGAUUAUAAAUAGACCCUUUUGUAUCAGGAAAGCUUUAAAAUCAGAGAAUAUUUCUUACAUUUCUCAAUACAUGUGAUCUCUAUGUGUUUUUACUGAAAUCAAUGUUAUUAGAUUUACCAUCUACUAUAAUUUAGUGUAGUGGAGGUAGGUAAAAGUAAUUAUGUUUACUAAGAAGAGGUAUACAUAGAUAUACAGUAUGUGUUUGUUCAAUAUUUCAUAGUCAUACAAUAUUGAUACCCUUAACCUUUU